rnacentral:rRNA from 1 species
GAUUCUGGCUCAGGAUGAACGCUAGCUACAGGCUUAACACAUGCAAGUCAGGGGCAGCAUGAUCAAGCUUGCUUUGAUUGAUGGCGACCGGCGCACGGGUGAGUAACGCGUAUCCAACUUCCCCAUAGUAGGGUAUAGCCCGGCGAAAGUCGGAUUAAUCCCCUAUGUUGUUUGAAGCGGACAUCUAAUUCAAACCAAAGAUUCAUCGCUAUGGGAUGGGGAUGCGUCUGAUUAGGUUGCAGGCGGGGUAACGGCCCACCUGGCCGACGAUCAGUAGGGGUUCUGAGAGGAAGGUCCCCCACACUGGUACUGAGACACGGACCAGACUCCUACGGGAGGCAGCAGUGAGGAAUAUUGGUCAAUGGGCGCGAGCCUGAACCAGCCAAGUAGCGUGCCAGGAUGACGGCCCUACGGGUUGUAAACUGCUUUUAUGCGGGGAUAAAGUGCGGCACGUGUGCCGUUUUGCAGGUACCGCAUGAAUAAGGACCGGCUAAUUCCGUGCCAGCCGCGGC